GUCUUCAAGCUGCUCCCAGACGGGAACUUCGAAGUCGGGGUGCACAUCGCGGACGUGAGUUAUUUCGUCCCGGAAGGCACCGUCCUAGAUGACGUGGCGAGCGAGAGAGCCACAAGCGUUUACCUGGUGCAAAAGGUGAGAAGGGCCUUCAGAGGCCUC